CCCGACAGUGAUAAGCUCAAAACAAAAAUUCUAACAAUAAAAUCUCUACCAAAAUUAACAACUUUCCUAACAACUUUUAGAUAAAAUCCUAACAAUAAAAUCAACAACUUUUAGAUAAAACCUCUACCAAAUUAACAACUUUCCUAACAACUUUUAGAUAAAAUCCUAACAAUAAAAUCAACAACUUUUAGAUAAAACCUCUACCAAAUUAACAACUUUNUUCCUAACAACUUUUAGAUAAAAUCCUAACAAUAAAAUCAACAACUUUUAUAUAAAAUCUCUACCAAAUUAACAACUUUCCUAACAACUUGAUGAACUAAAUCGGUUUAAUCCGAUCAACAUA
rnacentral:lncRNA from 1 species